UAUGGAGAGUUUGAUCCUGGCUCAGGAUGAACGCUGGCGGCGUGCCUAAUACAUGCAAGUCGAGCGAACGGACGAGAAGCUUGCUUCUCUGAUGUUAGCGGCGGACGGGUGAGUAACACGUGGAUAACCUACCUAUAAGACUGGGAUAACUUCGGGAAACCGGAGCUAAUACCGGAUAAUAUUUUGAACCGCAUGGUUCAAAAGUGAAAGACGGUCUUGCUGUCACUUAUAGAUGGAUCCGCGCUGCAUUAGCUAGUUGGUAAGGUAACGGCUUACCAAGGCAACGAUGCAUAGCCGACCUGAGAGGGUGAUCGGCCACACUGGAACUGAGACACGGUCCAGACUCCUACGGGAGGCAGCAGUAGGGAAUCUUCCGCAAUGGGCGAAAGCCUGACGGAGCAACGCCGCGUGAGUGAUGAAGGUCUUCGGAUCGUAAAACUCUGUUAUUAGGGAAGAACAUAUGUGUAAGUAACUGUGCACAUCUUGACGGUACCUAAUCAGAAAGCCACGGCUAACUACGUGCCAGCAGCCGCGGUAAUACGUAGGUGGCAAGCGUUAUCCGGAAUUAUUGGGCGUAAAGCGCGCGUAGGCGGUUUUUUAAGUCUGAUGUGAAAGCCCACGGCUCAACCGUGGAGGGUCAUUGGAAACUGGAAAACUUGAGUGCAGAAGAGGAAAGUGGAAUUCCAUGUGUAGCGGUGAAAUGCGCAGAGAUAUGGAGGAACACCAGUGGCGAAGGCGACUUUCUGGUCUGUAACUGACGCUGAUGUGCGAAAGCGUGGGGAUCAAACAGGAUUAGAUACCCUGGUAGUCCACGCCGUAAACGAUGAGUGCUAAGUGUUAGGGGGUUUCCGCCCCUUAGUGCUGCAGCUAACGCAUUAAGCACUCCGCCUGGGGAGUACGACCGCAAGGUUGAAACUCAAAGGAAUUGACGGGGACCCGCACAAGCGGUGGAGCAUGUGGUUUAAUUCGAAGCAACGCGAAGAACCUUACCAAAUCUUGACAUCCUUUGACAACUCUAGAGAUAGAGCUUUCCCCUUCGGGGGACAAAGUGACAGGUGGUGCAUGGUUGUCGUCAGCUCGUGUCGUGAGAUGUUGGGUUAAGUCCCGCAACGAGCGCAACCCUUAAGCUUAGUUGCCAUCAUUAAGUUGGGUACUCUAAGUUGACUGCCGGUGACAAACCGGAGGAAGGUGGGGAUGACGUCAAAUCAUCAUGCCCCUUAUGAUUUGGGCUACACACGUGCUACAAUGGACAAUACAAAGGGCAGCGAAACCGCGAGGUCAAGCAAAUCCCAUAAAGUUGUUCUCAGUUCGGAUUGUAGUCUGCAACUCGACUACAUGAAGCUGGAAUCGCUAGUAAUCGUAGAUCAGCAUGCUACGGUGAAUACGUUCCCGGGUCUUGUACACACCGCCCGUCACACCACGAGAGUUUGUAACACCCGAAGCCGGUGGAGUAACCUUUUAGGAGCUAGCCGUCGAAGGUGGGACAAAUGAUUGGGGUGAAGUCGUAACAAGGUAGCCGUAUCGGAAGGUGCGGCUGGAUCACCUCCUU
rnacentral:rRNA from 1 species